GGCAUGACUAGUACGGCGAGUGAGCGGCACAGCUCAAAUUUGAAAUCUGGCUCUCGGGCCCGAGUUGUAAUUUGUAGAGGAUACUUUUGAUGCGGUGCCUUCCGAGUUCCCUGGAACGGGACGCCAUAGAGGGUGAGAGCCCCGUCUGGUUGGAUGCCAAAUCUCUGUAAAGUUCCUUCAACGAGUCGAGUUGUUUGGGAAUGAAA
rnacentral:rRNA from 1 species